AUUGAACGCUGGCGGAAUGCUUUACACAUGCCAGUCGAGCGGCAGCGCGGCCUUCGGGCUGGCGGCGAGCGGCGAACGGGUGAGUAAUGCAUCGGAACAUGCCCAGUCGUGGGGGAUAACACUUCGAAAGAAGUGCUAAUACCGCAUACGUCCUGAGGGGGAAAGCGGGGGAUCGCAAGACCUCGCGCGAUUGGAGUGGCCGAUGUCAGAUUAGCUAGUUGGUGGGGUAAAGGCCUACCAAGGCGACGAUCUGUAGCUGGUCUGAGAGGAUGAUCAGCCACACUGGGACUGAGACACGGCCCAGACUCCUACGGGAGGCAGCAGUGGGGAAUUUUGGACAAUGGGGGCAACCCUGAUCCAGCCAUUCCGCGUGAGUGAAGAAGGCCUUCGGGUUGUAAAGCUCUUUCGGCAGGAACGAAACGGUGGGCUCUAACAUAGUCCGCUAAUGACGGUACCUGAAGAAGAAGCAUCGGCUAACUACGUG
rnacentral:rRNA from 1 species